CUCAUGCCGGCUGGCGUGGCUCCGUGUUUGAGCUCGACCGGGUUGCAGGCUGGACCCCCAGUGUGGAGCGUGCAGGAGGCAGCCGAUCAAUGAUUCCCUCUCAUCAUCCAUGCUUCUAUCUCUCUCCCCCUCUCCCUUCCUCUCUGAAAGCAAUAUAUAUGUUUUAAAGUGUUCCUCAGUGCCACCAUGAUCCCAACAAUAGCCACUGCCAUUGUGGAGUUUACGGAGUGCUGGAGAGGGCAGACAUCAGUCAAAUAAGGAAACAAUAUAAUGAGAUUAACUUCUUCAAAGAGUUAGCUACACUCUCUGACUGUACAACUCCACCACUCUCACCAGUGCCAUGAACCGUCUCCUGGUUGCCAAACCCAAGGAGCAGUCUUUUUCGUUUUUCUCCUCCUUGCUGCAUCUGACCCUGUUGACCACUUUCUCCUUAAAACUCUCUCCUGGGGAACCAAGAUGGUGGCGUAAGGUACAGACCUGUGUGUGCUGCCUCCCACAACAACAUUGAAACUACCAACUAUAAGACAAACAGCUAUCAUUCAGAACCAUGGGAAAGCUGGCCCAGUGGAAGCUCUACAACUGAAAGGAAAGAAAGAAGAGCAUUGAGACUGAGUAGGAUGUACAGAGGCACCAAGAACAGAGGUAUGAAGUCGUGCGCCAGGCGGGCUGCAACUGGAUGCGCGGUUUUUUUCAAUCAGAAAGGGUUACAAACUCUCAAAUCCACUGAGCUUGUUUGGGGUGGGAUUCUGAGGUCCCAGACCCCUACGGGGAGAGGCGGGAUGGCCUUGCAGCGGGUCGGAGAGCUAGUGUAGCUUUCUCUCGGAGCUGCUCGCCAGCACUCGGGGAUGUGGAGACACGGAGUCGCGGAGAGGCAAGGAGUGGGGGAGACACCAUUGCUCUUUGCUCCGCCCUGGUGAUUCCCGGAGACCCCGCCCUACUCAAUUUACAUCCCCGCCCAAGCUGUGCCAGAGGCACAAAAGGAACCACAUGCACUUUUACAGCAUAACCCAACAAACUGCAGAUUUCAAUUCCUCACAUCCAUAAGGAACACACUCAAGAAGCAGAAUCAGGUUCGGAGGAAGCCAGAGCCGGACCCGGCUGGGCCAGUGACAUGGAACCGCUGUACCAGCAAACGCACAAGCAGGUCCACCAGAUCCAGUCUCACAUGGGACGCCGGGAGAUGGCAGACAAGCAGUCUGUGCACUUAGUAGAAAACGAAAUCCAAGCAAGCAUACCAGAUAUUCAGCCACCAAGAACGCCUGGAGAUUUUGUCCAGCAAGGAGCCACCCAACAAAAGACAGAAUGCCAAACUUCAUGUUGACCAGUUAAAGUAUGAUGUCCAGCACCUGCAGGCUGCUCUCAGAAACUUCCAGCAUCAGCAAUACACAAGGGAGCAGCAGGAGAGACAGCGAGAGGAGCUUCUGACUCACACCUUCACCCCCAACAUGGGAUGCAGCACCCCCUGCGAGGCUGCUGUGCCGGCCCCUGGGAAGCCAAGAAAAAUACCACAUGAUCUCACUCAUUUAUGGAUAAUAAAGACCAUUAUAAACUGAUGAACAAAAACAGAUA